AGACGCCUCCUGCUUUUGUUGGUUUAUCUGCAUCAUCAGGGUAUAUAAGGAAUAAACCCUUAGAUGGAAUGAAAAAUAUGUAUGUUCAUUGGCGGCGAGAGAGGGUGAGAGACAUCGAAGUUGUGAAGGAAUGUUAUGAAAGAAGAAGAACCGUGAGGAAGGAGCUGCCAUCGUUGGGUUUCUUCGCCAGUUGGAACUCUCACUGGAGCAUUAUUUGAGACAAGGAGGUGGGGAUAUUUUAGCGAGAAUGGGGUCAUUCCUUCAGCUCCAAAUCUGCUCGACACCUUGAACCAGGUAGGGAGGCGUUCCCGAUGGUUGCGUCGUUCUCCGACACUGUGUGGGCCUCCGGCGAAUUUCGUAUGUUCUACAGAGCAGGGAAGGUAGCGACUGUCUUGAGACCUCCAGCAACAUCCGUAAGGGAGAAGGCGAGUUGCUAGUCUUCGAUGGCCAUAAAGAAGGAGAGGAAUCGAUAACAGUCAGGGUGUAGGUCCGCGUGAUUCUUAAUUUGGUUAUGGGGCUUGCGUUUCUGAUGAAGGAGGAUUCGGCAACCACUGAUGGAUGCUCUAGUGUGCCAUCUGGAUAACAUGUAAGAUUGGACUCUUGUUGGGCUUUUAAUGAGCUGGUAUGUAUCAAGUUAUGUAAUGGGCUGGUGGCAUGUUUUGGGUUAUGCGAAGUUGGGCUAUUGGGUUAAAAUGAUUGUCCUAUGAAGGGGCAUAACUAGCAAAUGAGAUCGGGAAUCUGUCAUUUAGCAGCUGGGGCCGAGUCUGCGGGACUUCAGCAGUGUGGGAUUGAGUCUGCGGGACUUCAGCAGUGCGAGGUGAGUUUCCUUCCAGUAGGAACGGGUCUACGGCCACAAUGCCGACCCGUUUAGUUAGCAGUAGUUCCGGACUACAGUCUGAUGCAGUAGUUUAUUAUGUUUGGUGUCUUUGUGAUACAUAUGAGUUAUGUGUUCCAGACUAUGGUUCGAUGCAGUAUGCAGUAUAUGUGUUUAUAUUAUAUGCUAUGAUUAUGUUAUGUUAUGUUCAGCUAGUUUCGGACCUCGGUUUGAUGCAUUAGUUAGAGUGCUUGAUGUCUUUGUGAUUUAUGCAUGUGUUGUGUUAUGUGUUCCGGACUCUGUUCCGAUGCAGUAUGCACUAUAUGUAUUCAUGAUGGUUGAUAUGUUACGAUAUGCUAUGUUCAGUCAGUUUCCGGACUUUGGUCUGAUGUAGGGGAUGGGGUCCUAGUCAGUUCCGGACUUCGGUCCGUUGCAGGGGACGGGGUCCCAGUCAGUUCCGGACUCGGACCGAUGCAGCUAGUUCCGGACUUCGGUCUGAUGCAGGGGACGGGGUCCCAAUUAGUUUCGGACUUCGGUCUGAUGCAGUUCCCGGACUUCAGUCCGAUGCAGUGGGCAAGGCCCAAUAUGUGUUUCUAUGUUAUUGUAUGGUAUGUGGUAGUUUGGGGGAGCUCACUAAGCUUUGUGCCUACAGUUUCAGUUUUGGUUUCAGGUACUCAGUUUUCAAAAGAGGAGCUCGGGAAGAUUGCAGUGCACACACCAUUUGUACAGCCUGGGAUGUGUAUACUUUGAUAUACUUGACAAUUGUUAUAAUAUUUUGAGAUACAGUGCUUAUGAUUUUUAUAUGAGGUUUAUUGACUAUGGUUUUUAUUAUUUAAUUAAACGAAUUUUUUAGACUGUGUUUUUGGGAUGUUACAAUACGACUCUGGUUGCUUC